AAGCCUGCAACGUAGAAAGAAUUAUCCAACCAUUAGGUGAAAAUUUCAGAGCCGUGACUCCCGUCAGGCUCUGAUGAUGUUGCGGACAAGUGACGUGAUCCGUUAUCAAGCCAGUAACAUCACGAGCAAUUAAUUCCUCGAAGGAUGGUACUUGGAUCUUCUGGGCAUUGACGUAACUUCCUUCGUUUGGUUCUCAUCGAUGUCAACUUCUUCUUCUUCGUCUUCAGUAUCAUCUUCCGAAUCGAUAAUGUAGUCCAAAUCGCUGCUCGUCGAAGCCACUGAGUGAAAAAUAAU
rnacentral:misc_RNA from 1 species